rnacentral:lncRNA from 1 species
CACAGCUUUAUUGAAGCAGAGAGUCGUGGUCCCAUCAUCAGGGUUGCCUAGUAACCGGUCUACGCCACACCACAGAGUUUCAGAAUGGGCUGGACCACACACAAGUACCCAUUUUGGGGGAUUUCCAGUGGCAGUCCUACUCUCACUCCAUCACAUCACUUCUAAAAUCUGAGUCACAUGGUUCAAAUUUCACAGUACAAAGUGUGUUCUUGAGAUCUGGGGUUCUCUCCAAAAUGGAUAAUCAUUAUUGGUUUUGUAAUGCAAUGCCAAGACCAUCAAUAAGAGACAGAGUCUCGCCAUGUUGCCCAGGCCCUGCUGACCAGGAAAAAAAAAAAAAAAAAAAAAGUUUUUUUUCUUUUUUAAAGAAAGAAAAGAAAAGAGACUGAGAAACUACAGAAAGAAAGAAGCGCUGAUGACAAUGCCUGCUUGCUGAUGGUUACGAAGAUCAUAGCAGUGUACAUUUUGUAUGCAUGAAGCCCGUGACUAAAUAAACGUGUGGGGAAACAUUUGUAAG